rnacentral:rRNA from 1 species
UACAGAGGCCCCAAGCGUUACUGAGAAUCACUGGGUUUAAAGGGUGCGCAGGCGGAUAUGUAAGUCAGUGGUGAAAUCUCCGGGCUUAACCCGGAAACUGCCGUUGAUACUAUAUAUCUUGAAUGCUGUGGAGGUAAGCAGAAUAUGUCAUGUAGCGGUGAAAUGCUUAGAGAUGACAUAGAAUACCUAUUGCGAAGGCAGCUUACUACGCAGAUAUUGACGCUCAUGCACGAAAGCGUGGGGAUCAAACAGG